CCUCCUCCUCUCUUUCUUCUUCUCUAUAAACUGAAAUGGACACACCUUCCUCCUCUUCUGAGUAACUCCAUUCCUCCUCUGCAGAUACUUUAAAAGAUAAGGUUUCAUUUAAAUUCAGCCUGCUGAGAUACAGAUGUAUAUACAGCCAUGUGGUCACUACAGAUGGAUAACUGUUCUUCUAUCUGCUUAGGACAUAGCUUCAUGGUACUUCCUCACUAUAAGAAGGAGGAAGCUAAUUUAAGAUGAGGGCAAGUACAGCCCAAGACUGAGAAUGAUACUUGAGUUAUGUCCAAGUGUGGCCACUUUCAAAAUUAUAACAUUUUCGGGACUCAUCCACUUCCUUCGAAUGAUUCAAGGCCAACAUAGACACAAAAGACUCAGUCCCAGAAGGCUACAAAAGGUAGACACAUUCUAAUACCAACAUAAGGAGAAAUAACUGAUGAGGACAUGUUCUAAAGUAAACAAUCACAUGUGGAAGAAGAAGAGACUUUGAGGAAACACACACAAACUCAUUUAUCCCCUGACUUCCGAUUAUAUACCUUCGUGCCGCGUGACUUCCACUCUUUGAGGAACUGCGAAGGAUAGUUUUUCUUCAGCAACAAAUCUCUUUUCUUCUACAACAGUUUUCUUAGAGACUUCAGCUUUAAGAAAGUGUUAAAGUUGAAGUUUAAAAUCAAGAAUUUUAACAAUUCUCACUUUCUAGAAUUUGGGGAAGAGUUGCACAGUACACCACUUUGACUAGCAAAAUGGGAAAACAAGUUACAUAUCACAAGGACAUAAACACAAAAGUUUCACUGCAAGUGAGACAAUGGAUCAGUAUAAGCACAGACCAGAUGGAAAAAGCAAGAAUUUAACACACUCGAAGAUUUUUUUUUUUUUUUUUUUUUUUUGUCAGAGGAUUGAGGCAAAUCCUACCUCGGGGAGGAGGAGCUUUCUUAGCGACAGGAACUGGCACUGCAACUUUCUCCUCUGGGACGGGUUUCUUAGGCAGAGCUGGCACUUUAGAGACAUUAUGCACUUUUAGAAAUUUAAUGUGAUCUCAUUGAAGCCCAGUGCAAAACAAAGAAAUACACCCACAGUGCACUCAUAUCACAAAACUAACAAAAUCACUGGAACAUAAAGACAGUUCUUGGGAAGAUGGAGAAACAAUACCUUUUGGUGGUGGUGGAACUUCUUCCUCCUUCCGAGGAACAGGUUUCCUUUCUUCAGGAACUUUCUUCUUUGGUAUUUCUGGCACUUAAAGGAUAGUAUUGAAUUUUAAAAUUUGUCAAAAAGGCCAAAUAAAUGAGCAACAUAGAAGUGGCAAUUAAAGAAGACAUGCAAUUAAAGAGGCUUGAAGGAAAGACAAGGUUAUUUCAUGGAGAUGGGAUUAAGUACCUGCUGGUGGUGGAGAUUCCUCUCUUUGAGUUACAAUGGUUAUUUUUUCUUCUGUCACAACUCCCUUCUGUACUUCAGGAACUUGAAGAGACAUUUUUAGAAUUGACUUUAUAUUUUCUAAAGUAGCUAUGCACAGUUAUUUUUUUUAAGAAAGCAGACGGGUGGACAGACACUUUUGUUCAGUUCUCACCACAAAACAUUCAUUUAGAAUUAAACUAACUCAAUGAACAGAUAAUUAAACACAACAUAUUUUGUAUCAAAGAUAAAAGAUAGGGCUUUACGUCGAAAGCCACUGUACCUUUAGCUGGGGGAGCUUCCUUUUUCUUUGCAACAGGAACGGGAAUCUUUUCUUCAGGGACAGGUUUCUUUGGCACCUCUGGGACUUAAAGUUUUUGAAACACAAUGUUAGUUCAGACAUAUAUCACUUUUAUGAAAGAACAUAGGCACAUGCACAAAUCUUUAUGUAGUACAUUAAUGUUGUUAUGGAUUAUCUAUGCAUCAGCAAAAUUAUCCAGAAAAUUAAACUAACUAUACUAUUCCAAGGAUCACAAUGUGAUAAAUAUCACAAAUAAUGUUUUAGAGGCAUUUAGGCAAAAAUGAGUUAUGUAACAAAGUUGUGCACAGAAUUCAUCCUUUAUAUAUUGUAUGACCUUGCUAAAAACAAAUUAGUGAUGACACAAACAAUCAAGAAUGUGGAUAUGGUAUAUAGAAAACUUCUUUACGCUUUGUAUUGAGAAAUGGAGUACUUAAUAACAAUGGCUUUAGUUUAUCUAAGACUAUUUUAGACUAAGACUAAGAAGUCUUAGAAUAGUUGAAUAUGUGUAACUUACUUCUCUUCCCCACAUUUCUCCUCUCAUUUUUGGGGGGUGUGCCUGUAGUGAAUUCAAAACUCAGGAAACACUCUAGAGUAGGUCUCUCAAUCUGAUACCCAUGUGUUAAUGACUUUACAGAGCUUUGUGUGCAGAAUUUUGUGGGUAUGUGUAUUUGUGCUUUUUUUUUCUAAGGGGCUCUAGAGUUUUGAACAGGGUUUUCAACCUAAAAAAUGUUUACAGUGUAUUUGAUUUAUCUAUUCUAAGAAUGGAUAAUGUUGACUUUUUAAUUGGAAGAUGAAUUUUAACAGCAUGCAUUAUUGGCAAUAAUUGUUCUCAUUUUAAAUACAAUAUUGGCAGCUUUUGUGAAUCCCUGCACCUCUGCACGUGCAUUUGUAAUAUUUUGGUGCAAUUAUAUAGCUGUUAAUUUAUAUAUGUAUAUGUUAUGCUAUAUAUACAUGCAGUAUUUAUAUAUAUAUACGUGCUAUUAUACUAUGUGUAUUUGUUUUUAUGAGUAAAUGAGAGAUGCCUCUGUGUCUCCUUUAGAAGACAUAUAUGACUUUGCUGAAAACGAAUUAGUGAUUACACAAACAGUCAAGAAUGUUCAGAUAGUAUAUAGAAAAGGUUCUUUAUGCUUUGUAUGGGGAAAUGUAGUACAUAAUAACAAUGGAUUUAAUUUAUCUAAGACGAUCUGUCUCAAGUAGCUUUAGUAUUAGUAUUGGUUUUACUAACAUGACCUUUGUAUUUAAUGGUUAGAUAAUCAAAAGAAUUUUGAAAGAGCCAAGAGUUUGAGAAAGAGAGAAGCAUAUUUGAUUCAGGAAGAAAAUAGAAACAUUGCAAAGUCAGGCCAAGGGAACACUAUUCAAAAUGUACUAUUUUAGUUAGGUCUGGUUUCUCCUAAAUUGGAUAAUGUUGAAUUCUUGCUGAGUCUCUCUAUAACUGAAUGGAUGCGUGCAAUUGUAGCUUCAGUGCUUCAAUAAGAUAGUGCCUUUUAUCGCCAAAAAAAUCCCAAACAAACCAAAGCAAGGGAUUUGUGAUAUACCACAGCAGCACAUUUUCAUUCAAACAUACCUCUGUGAAAGGUACUUUGACUAGCUAAUUAGAUAACGGAAACAUUUAUGGCAAAUACUGAAGCUCAGUUAAGGUCUCAAGAAAAUGGUGAAAGUAAACUUCAAAAAAUCUGUAUGUUCCCCACUAUUGAAGACUCGCCACUAUUGACUUUUAAGAAGCGUGGUACUAUGUACGUCUUUAUGUAAUUAACAUUCAGUUCUGCCAGACACUCUCCAGUUGUCAUUGCCUGUCUCCACCUCUUCAUAAUGCAUGAAACUGCUUUUAUUAAGAAAAAGUUACAUUUAUGAAGGAUGAAAGGUUUUUUCCUAGAAACAUGUCAGUAGAAAACAAGUUUCACAAACAUUUCCUCUUUCUCUAAAAGAGGGAAGAUAUUAAAAAUGUAAGAUAGCAGUUUGACAUAGUUACUUCCUUUAACAAUACUUUUUGGUGAUGUCUUAGGAAUAUUCAGUAUAAUAAAUAAAGUAUGUCAAGAGCAUGGCACGGAAGCUGACAAACAGUAAAAACACAAGAAGAAUGUAAAAGAGACAAAAGACAAAGGCAGCAUAGUACAUAUGAAGAUCGUAGAAAGCAAAAGGCUGGCACUUGGAGCAAAGAGUCUCCCCAUCAUUGGCUCUGGCGUACCUUUUGGGGGAGCAGCAGGUUCCUUCUUAGGCACAGGAACUGGCUUUUUCUCCUCUGGCACGGGUUUCUUGGGAACCUCAGGAACUUUAAAGAUACAAUUGUUGAAAUAAUGUGGAAUAUUCUAGUCACCUUCUGAGACAUCUAAGAUUACAUUAAAGCAUAAAUCUUCACUAACAGUGUGAGAAUUAGGAAGUAAUUUAAAUAUGCCUACUUGUGGUAGAAAUGAAAGCUAAAUACCUCAACACCAUAUAGACAUUACAUACAUUACACAAGCAGACAAAGACCCAGUUAGCGUGAUCUGGAGUUUAGAAAUGUUACCAAUACUUGUAUAACACAUCACCACAAAUAAAUGAAAUCAAUAUACACAGAAUUAAAUAUAUUAUAGAUGGUUUACAGAUGCUAUUUUGUUAAUACACAGAUCUUAUAGAAAAAGAUACAAGAUGGAUGCUAAGAAUUAUUUUUUUCACAAAUAUUAUUCUACCUUUUGGUGCUGGGGGCUCCACUUUUUUAGGGAUAGGAACAGGGGCCACUUCUUCUGGAGCUGGUUUCUCAGGUAGCUCAGGGACUUUAAAAGAAAAGUGCCAUUUUUGAGAAAGUGUGCAUUUGACAAGGCAUAUGUUGUUGUAAGACUUAGAAUUAAAUAGAGAUUCCCUUUUUAUACCAACUGAAUGCAAGAAAAUUAUGCUUUAGAAAUGAGAGUAAAUGAAGAUGGCUGAAUGGCUAAUUAGAAAAUGUGACUGCUGUCACCUUUAACUGCAGAAGCCUCUACUUUGUCAGGAACAGGUAGGAGCAAUCCUCCCUCGGAGGUGCCUGUGUCAGUUCCUCAGAAACCAGCUUUUUAUGAACAUCGAUAACUAUGAAGUUAGUUUUUUUUUUUGUAACCUUUACUUUUAUAAAGCAGUUUCAUAAAUACAAUUGCAUUAGAUUUUUUUGUGUCUUAAAUGUUUAACAAUUUGGGUGGGAUGGAGGGGGUGGAGCCUUGAUCUAUAGUGCUUGCAGAUUUCCGAUUUCCAAGGUGGUAUAAACACUCCCUCCCACCCUGGCUGUCAAGGUGAUGUCAUUGUCCUGGAGUUGGAAAGAGAUGUGCAGUAGUACAUUAUAUGGCAUUUCCACCACACAGACACAAAGAUGGAAACAAUCUCAGAAACACAGAUAAGAACAAAAUGCAGUAAAAUAGGAGUUUUGAGUAUUUAUUAAUAUUUAAAAAUAUACUUUAUUGGACUGUAAAUUUACAUAAUCUAAUUUUUAAUAAUGGUGGUGUUAAACUACUGACUGGCAAAAUUCCUGAAAAUGUAACCAUAGGCUCUGGUGAGCUAGCAUGAACUGGCUCCAGGACACUGUAUUUCCAAGUAACAGGUUACGAGAUUGCAAACUCUCUGAAGCAGGGAAUGGAGCCUCCCAUAAUUUUCACUUUUUUCCCCCUGUGCCUUCCUCAUGGUUCUUCCCGUCCCCCAUCACAUCCUUUGUACAUAGUGGCUAUAGGUAUGCACACUGUGACUAAAUCUAUUAUUUAAUACUAACAUAAAUGUUUUACUAUGGUAUUUGUACUAAUUUUUAUUAAAAGAGUUUAAACUUAGAAUGAAUUACUAAUACCUUUAGGUGGUGGUUCAACCCUUUUGGAAAUGGCAACGUGAAUUUUCUCUUCAGUAACAAUUUCCUUUUGUACCUCGGGGACUUAAAAAAAUGUACAUUUUAAUUACUGAUAUGCCAUGUUGUGGGUGGUAAUUGUAAUUUACAAAGAACAUUAAAAUAAAAAUGAAAACAGAGACAAACAUGAAAUGAAAAAGAUGACAGAAUUUACAAGGAGACAGAAAUGUCUACACGAUCACAAAUUAGACAACAAGAGGGAUAAAAAUCUGCCUAAAACCCUUCCAUUUGAGCCCCCACAUUCCAGUUUGCCUUAUACCUGUGACUGACACCUCCUCCUCUGUGUGAGAAGCAAAGAACAUCUUUUCUUCUGAAAUAACCAUCUUCUUUGUAUGCACAGCUGGUACUUUAAAGAGAGUAUUUCACAUUAGUAUUCCUUUUUUUUAGUACAAGACAUCAGAUCAAACACAUGGAUUUUAUACUCAAGUAUUUAGACACAGAAUGAGUGGGUUAAUAUGGUAGCUUGAGAACAAAUUCAGUAUUGACAAGAAAACAAAUCAUGUUUUGAUCUAUAGGGACAAACAAUGCAUGCAGCCUUCAUCAAACAUUCUUAAAUGAGAAUCAAAUAGACACAACUUCUUCACACACAAUGUUGUGCUUUUCCAAAUCUGUUAGGGUCUAUUUCUAUAAAUAAGAGGACAGGGAAUAUUAUAUGCAAUGGAAUGCAUUGCAUAGUGAAGUUAGCAAACUACUAAUUAAACACAAACCUUCUUUAUAAUAAAAAAAUGUAAUUUUUAAGCAGAACUAGAAACAAAGUAGAUAAUGUUACUAUUUAAAUUAAACAUAUGUGCAACUCAACAUAAAAUUUGUAUUAUGUAAAAAUGUGCUGUUUUUGGUCGUUUCAGAUUUGUGAGUUACUUAGCAAUAUAUGUACACAUGUCCAUACACAUAAAUAAAAAAAUUUUGAACUUGUAGCUGAAACACAAAGAUGUAUACCUUUCACUUCAAUAACUUCUUCCUGUACUGGAGUCCGGGAAGGUUUUUGUGGAACAAUCUUCUUUGAAACUUCAGGUACUUUAAAAAUAUGUACAAAUAUAUUUGUAUUUUGAAGAAUAUUGCUUUGCACAAAAUUUAAAAGUAUUUGAUUAUAUAAAUAACUAAUGUGAGUAUAGAUCAGUAAACAUAUUACUUGUGUACAUGGGUGCUAGGAAUGUUUUAAAUAAUACCUUUGGUGACUUGAACUUUUUCUUCCUCCAUUCUUCGAGAAGUCUUUUCAAUUUUUUCAAUUACUGGCUUCUUUAUAACUGCAAGCAUUUUAGAGAAAUUGCAGUACUUUUAGAAUUCCUAUUAAAAUUCUCUCUCUCUCUAUCUCUCUCUCUCUGUGUAUAUGUGUUUAUACACACCUAUAAGUGUAUAUGCAGAUACAUGUAUCAUUUUUUAAAGAGAGAGAUGAGUUCGGUUUUUUUUUCUUUGACCUUUACGCACAACUUUGAACUCUGGGUACAAGUUUCUGUACUUAACAUAUUUUGGUUAUAUUUAAGUUUACCAUUACAAUUUUUAUCAUCUUUUGAUUUUUUAAUGAAAUCAAUUAGAUAGAAAUUUUAAGAAAAAAAAAUCAUUCACAAUAAAGCUUAGAGAAGAAGUUGUGCCUAUUGGAUUGAACUGCUGAUUUAUACAUUGCUGCCAAACAAGCCAUGAUAAUGAUGUUGAUGCUCUAGUCUAUUUAAAUAUUUCUAAUUACUUACCUUUAGGAGGUGGUGGUGCUUUCUUUUCAGGUACUUUGGCUGGAACUUUUCUCUCAUGUGAUUCUGAAAUAAAAACACAGGAAUAAGAAGGGAUGCUUAAAUAGGUGUAUCACAACAGCCUACUUUCUAUCGCAUUAUUAUAGCAUCAUUUUUGGAACUGCGUUAAUUACAUCUUAAUGGAUAUGGUGAAAAGAAGUUCAAGAAAUAGGGUGGUAAACUUGUAGUAAUUUCAGAUACUUUGUAUUGACAUUAUUUCUGUUAAAUUACCUAAUAUUUCAAUUAUAAUAAGGAGCCUACAAAUUGCAGAUGAGCAACAACUGAUAUUUCUAAAAAUCUAAUUCCAUUUCUAGGGAAAUCAUAAUAAGCAAAUAAACAUGAGUGGUUGCUGGCUUGAGCUGCAUAAUA